rnacentral:rRNA from 1 species
GAUGAACGCUGACAGAAUGCUUAACACAUGCAAGUCUUUGGCGAAGCUGUGCUUGCACAGCCUAGCCAAGGCGGACGGGUGAGUAACGCGUAAGGAACUUGCCCUGCAGUCAGGGAUAACAGACGGAAACGACUGAUAAGACCCGGUAAAGUCAGGCGGACUCAUGUCCAGCCUGAUGAAAAGAGAUGCUGCAGGAGAGCCUUGCGUCCUAUUAGCUUGUUGGUGGGGUAACGGCCCACCAAGGCGAUGAUAGGUAGCCGGCCUGAGAGGGUGGACGGCCACAAGGGGACUGAGAUACGGCCCUUACUCCUACGGGAGGCAGCAGUGGGGAAUAUUGGACAAUGGGGGCAACCCUGAUCCAGCAAUUCUGUGUGCACGAUGAAGGUUUUCGGAUUGUAAAGUGCUUUCAGCAGGGAAGAAAAAAUGACGGUACCUGCAGAAGAAGCGACGGCUAAAUACGUG